CACGUAGGGGGCGAGCGUUGUCCGGAAUCAUUGGGCGUAAAGAGCUCGUAGGCGGCUCAGUAAGUCGGGUGUGAAACCCUCAGGCUCAACCUGGGGACGCCACCCGAUACUGCUGUGGCUAGAGUCCAGUAGGGGAGUGUGGAAUUCCCGGUGUAGCGGUGAAAUGCGCAGAUAUCGGGAGGAACACCAGCGGCGAAGGCGGCACUCUGGGCUGGUACUGACGCUGAGGAGCGAAAGCGUGGGUAGCAAACAG
rnacentral:rRNA from 1 species